CAGAGUUUCACUCUUGUCAUCCAGGCUGGAGUGCAAUCUUGGCUCACUGCAACCUCCGCCUCCCGGGUUCAAACAAUUCUCCUGCCUCAGCCUCCCAAGUAGCUGGGAUUACAGGCGCUCGCCACCAUGCCUGGCUAAUUUUUGUAUUUUUAGUAGAGAUGGAGUUUCACCAUGUUGGCCAGGCUGGUCUCGAACUCCUGACCUCAGGUGAUCCGCCCUCCUCAGCCUCCCAAAGUGCUGGGAUUAUAGGUGUGAGCCACUGCGUCCGGCCAAGACCUAACUUUUAAUUUCAUUGAUUUUCUGUGUCAUUUUUAUAUUCUCUAUUUCAUUAAUUUCCACUCUAAUCCUUCUUUGGGUUUACUUUGCUCUUCUUUUUUCAAUGUCUUAAGGUAGAAAUUUAGGUUAUUGAUUUGAGAUCAUUCUUCUUUUCCUUUAUUUAUUUAUUUAGAGACAGGGUCUUGCUCUGUCACCCAGGCUGGAGUGCAGUGGUGUGAUUGUAGCUCACUGCAGUCUUGAACUCCUGGGCUCUGGCAACCCUCCUGCCUUGGCCUCCCAAGUAGCUGGGACUACAGGUACACGCCACUGUGCCUGGUUAAUUUUUUAAUUUUUAUUUUGUAGUGACGGGAUCUCACUAUGUUCCCCAAGCUGGUCAGGAACUCCUGGGCUCAAGUGAUCCUCCAGCCUUGGCCUCCCAAAGUGCUGGGAUUACAGGCGUCAGCCACUGUGCCUGGCCUCAUUCUUCUUUUUAAAUGUAGACAUUUACAACUUUAAAUUUCCCUCUAAGCAUUGUUUUACUUGCAUACCGUAAGUUUUCAUAUGUUAUAUCUUCAUUUUCGUUCAUCUAAAAAUAUUCUGAUUUCCCCUCUGAUUUCAUCUUUGACCCAUUGGUUAUUUAGGAGUGUUUGUUUUUCACAUAUUUGUGACUUUCCCAGAUUAGUUAUUAACUUUUACUCUAGUGUGAUCAGAGAACGUACUUUGUACGAUUUCAAUUCUUUUAAAUUUAUGGAAGCUAUUUUUUUUUAAUUGAGGCUUUUUUUUUUAAAGAUGGAGUCUUGCUCUGUUGCUCAGGCUGGAGUGCAGUGGCACCAUCUCGGCUCACUGCAACCUCCGCCGCCCGACUUCAAGUGAUUCUCCUGCCUCAACCUCCUGAGUAGCUGGGACCUGGUACCGGUGUGCAUUACCACAUCUGGCUAAUUUAUAAAUUUUUUGGUAGAGACAGGGUUUCACCAUGUUUGUGAGGCUGGUCUUGAACUCCUGACCUCAAGUGAUCCACCUGCCUCAGCCUCCCAAGUGCUAGGAUUAUAGGCAUGAACCACUGUGCCCAGCCCUAAUUAAGGCUUUUUUAUUUUUAUUUAUUUUUAAUUCAUUUAUUAUUAUUACUUUUUGAGAUGGAGUCUCACUCUGUUGCCGAGGCUGGAGUGCAGUGGCGUGAUCUCCACUCAUUGCAACUUCUGCCUCCCAGGUUCAAGUGAUUCUCCUGCCUCAGCCUCCCAGGUAACUGGGAUUACAGGUGUGUGCCACCAUGCCUGGCUAAAUUUUGUAUUUUUGGUAGAGACAGGGUUUCUCCAUGUUUGCCAGGCUGGUCUUGAACUCCUGACCUCAGGUGAUCCACCUGCCUCAGCCUCCCAAAGUGCUGGGAUUACAGGUGUGAAUAUAUAUAUGUAUAUAUGAUGGUAUACUACUCAACCAUAAAAAGGAAUGUAUUAACAGCAUUUGCAGUGACCUGGAUGAAACUGGAGACUAUUAUUCUAAGGGAAGUAACUCAGGAAUGGAAAACUAAACAUUGUAUGUUCUCACUGAUAUGUGGGAGCUAAGCUAUGAGGACGCAAAGGCGUAAGAAUGAUACAAUGGACUUUGGGGACUUGGAAGGAAGAGUGGGAGGGGGGUGAGGGAUAAAAGACUCCAAAUAUGGUGCAAUGUACACUGCUUGGGUGAUGGGUGCACCAAAGUCUCCCAAAUCACCACUAAAAAAUGUACUCAUGUAACCAAACACCACCUGUUCCCCAAUAACUUAUGGAAAAAUAAAGUAAUAAAAAUUAAAAACAAA
rnacentral:lncRNA from 1 species